ensembl:misc_RNA 7SK 7SK RNA
GGAUGUAAAUCCUACCUGGGUAUGACAUAAGUCAUUCCACUGAUCACCAGGGUUGAUUUGGUUGAUAUGUCUGCCUAGGUAGGUGCCUCUUUUCUCCUUCACCACUCCACAUACAUCCCUCCUCAAGCUUGCACUCCAUUGAAAUGAAUAAGCUUCCCCCAGUAGAGAUGGACAAUUCUUUGAUUAAGAAUAUAGGAGCAGCUGUGCUCUCCUACUAGGACAUUCAAAUAACCUCUGCAGGAAAAUCAUUUUUUAAAUUUUUAUUAGUGAUUUAACAAUGAUUGACAAGACUGUAAGAUAACAGGGGUACAAUUCCAUACAGUCCCCACCACAAGAGUUCCAUGUCCCAUCUCCUCCACUGGAAGGUUUCCUAU